AGCGAACGCUGGCGGCAGGCUUAACACAUGCAAGUCGAGCGGGCGUAGCAAUACGUCAGCGGCAGACGGGUGAGUAACGCGUGGGAACGUACCUUUUGGUUCGGAACAACGCAGGGAAACUUGUGCUAAUACCGGAUAAGCCCUUACGGGGAAAGAUUUAUCGCCGAAAGAUCGGCCCGCGUCUGAUUAGCUUGUUGGUGAGGUAACGGCUCACCAAGGCGACGAUCAGUAGCUGGUCUGAGAGGAUGAUCAGCCACAUUGGGACUGAGACACGGCCCAAACUCCUACGGGAGGCAGCAGUGGGGAAUAUUGGACAAUGGGGGAAACCCUGAUCCAGCCAUGCCGCGUGAGUGAUGAAGGCCCUAGGGUUGUAAAGCUCUUUUGUGCGGGAAGAUAAUGACGGUACCGCAAGAAUAAGCCCCGGCUAACUUCGUGCCAGCAGCCGCGGUAAU
rnacentral:rRNA from 1 species